AUGACUGAACGCCUCUAAGUCAG
rnacentral:ncRNA from 4 species